CCAAGUUUACUGUUUAAACCCAUGUUUAAACCCAUCAGAGAUUUAAUAGGCCCAAACAUUAUUAAGUCUAAUCAUAAUUAACCAUUUUAUAAGAAAUUAAAUAGAGUUAAAAUCUAGAGUCUUCUAAAUGAAAUCAGAUCUCUCUUCCUCUGCUCAGUGCUCACACGCGUUCUCUCUCUCUUUCUCAGUUCUCUCAGCUGCGUCUCUCACUCUCCCUCUCCUUUUCACCCGGCGACGCCGCCGGUCCUCGCCGCCUCCGGCGCGGCGAGGCCGGCUCCUCUCCUUCCUCCCCCUCUUCUUCCUCUUUCUUUCCUAAUUUCUCUCAAAUCUCUAAAAUUCCUAACUUAUAUAUAUAUAGGGUUUCUGUCUCUCUUUUCCUCUCUGAGAUUCGUCCCUCCGGUAAUCCCUGCCGCACCGCCGCCGUCUCCGACGCACCACCGGCCUCUGCAUCCCAGAUUAUUGGGGACGAUUGGUGAACUGGACCGAAUUGCAGGGUGAAGAAAAAUGGCUGAUCGUGAGAAGGAAAAUACUUAUACUAUCUCUAAGUCGGAUGAGUGCAGAGCCACGUGUUGCUUGAGCAGCUAAUCUACUUUAAUAAUCCAAUUUGCACAGUUGCACUAAUAAGAGUAGGUUAAUCUACUGAUUUAAAAGAGUUCAACUUGGGCCUCUUCUCAUAUAUCUGCAUAAUCUUUGGCCCAAAUAACCACUGUUGGGCUUUUCUAUUUUUUAUAAAACUCUU